rnacentral:rRNA from 1 species
UACGGAGGGUGCAAACGUUGCUCGGAAUCAUUGGGCGUAAAGCGCACGUAGGCGGCCUGUUAAGUCGGGUGUGAAAGCCCUGGGCUCAACCCAGGAAGUGCACUCGAAACUGGCGGGCUUGAAUAUGGAAGAGGGUCGCGGAAUUCCCGGUGUAGAGGUGAAAUUCGUAGAUAUCGGGAGGAACACCAGUGGCGAAGGCGCACAUCUGGCCCGAUACUGACGCUGAGGCGCGAAAGCUAGGGGAGCAAACGGG